CCCAGUGACUAACAGUUAAACGGCCGCGGUACCCUAACCGUGCAAAGGUAGCAUAAUCACUUGUUCUUUAAAUCAGGACUAGUAUGAAUGGCCCAACGAGGGCUAUACUGUCUCCCCCCUCUAAUCAGUGAAACUGAUCUCCUCGUGAAAAAGCGAGGAUAUAACUAUAAGACGAGAAGACCCCAUGGAACUUAAAACUAGUACCACCCCUCCACCCCAGGGCCACUCGACUACUAGUCUUUCGGCUGGGGCGACCCCGGAGAAAAAUAGAACCCCCGAGAUGAAAGGGAAUACCCUAAUCCCAGAACCACUAUUCAAAGAAUCCAUAAAUGACAUCAUUGAUCCAAUAUUUGAUCAACGAACCAAGCUACCCUGGGGAUAACAGCGCAAUCCAUUUCAAGAGACCCCAUCGACAAAUGGGCUUACGACCUCGAUGUUGGAUCAGGGAAUCCUAGUGGCGCAGCCGCUACCAAAGGUUCGUUUGUUCAACGAUUAAAACCC
rnacentral:rRNA from 1 species